GAGAUCCACUCUGCUGGAGUUUCCUAUGUGAGUCUAGGAUACAGAUAACCAAGAAUUGUUUGCCACAGGAAAGAUGGUCUUGACAGGGAGCUGAUAGAGUUUCUCAUAGAUCUCUAUUCAACCUCCAGAUAACAAGAGAGGACAUCCAUACUUUCCAGCAUGCUGAGAAAUGAAUUUGGACAUGGAGCUGUCCCUUGAUUAAAGUAAUUCAGAGGAUUUUGUUUCUUGUUAGUUCUGGUUUCUUAAAUUAUUAUUGUCAUCAAAUUCUGAUACUGCAUGUCAUGAAGAUUUUGAAGACAUUGUUAUCAGCCAGAAAAUGAUGAAAGAAUGCUACGUGUAAAUCCUGCUAGGCUGAACUGACAGACUAUUCCAUUUUAUGAGAACAUCUGAGAUUUUCAAAAAGUUAAUGGUUAUUUAAGAAAGGUAGAAAUCAAAGAAUGGGUAAAAGCUAAGAUUUCACCCUGUACAGCACAACUGAAAAUGAGCUAUCGGGCUACCAUGUGGUGCUAAAAAAUCAUCUGGCUUACUGUGAACAAGGGCUUGACAUUGCAAAGUCAAAAUCUGUCUUAUAUGAGGGGGCUGAACUGUAGCUGACUGGCUUAUGUGUUGAGCAGGCUGGAUUGCUGCUAAAGGGAAAAUGCAGAAAAGAAUCCACCCACCCAAAAAUAUGAGUAAUCGUUCUGAUGCUUUACAGUGACUACAUGAAGGAAUUCAUAUGCCAGCUUUUAUUUUGCUCUCUAAGGGACAUCUUCACAUCUGAACAAUUUUUCUGAUAGUAUCCUCUUUAUUAUAAACAUCUUUGCAAUAUCACAUCAUGAAAGAACUGAAAUGUCAGGUGGAAACUUAAAGUGAAGAAGGAGUGAGAAAAUGCCAACUAAUUGCAAGUAGGAAAAAAUAUUUGUCUUACUGUUUCAAGGAUAAUAUAUUGCCAUGGAUUUUUUUAAACCUAUUGAAUUAUUCUGAUUGUACUUCAUUCAGAAUAUUUCAAUGCUAGUUAUAAUUAAUUACAUAUGGCUUGCAUCUGGGGUUCCCACGCAUGUUCAGCAACUCUGUCUAUAGGCAAAGUGGUAAAUACACUACAUGAUCUCAGUUCUAGCCAUGCAGUAAUACUGAGAGCAGCAAGAGAUGUUCUAGAGCUAUCAAGAUAAGGAAAUUUUUAUUAUGGUAUACAUUUUAAGUUCUGUGGUUUGUCCAAACAUCUCAUGAAAGCCAUGCCUCUUCAUUGAUUGAGUCACACUAAAGUAAAA